rnacentral:lncRNA from 10 species
AAAAGAAAAAAAAAAAAGAUUCAACCAGGAGGGUAGAUGUAAUAAGUAGGAGGGACUUUUUCUCUAGGCAGUACCACUUAUUCUUUUCCUGAGGAUGUUGGUUUUAUAUGGAUUGUCUUUAAGCAUCACUUGGAAACGCUACAAAUAAUGCAGCUAAAUGUUUAAGCAAUUAGGAAAUAGGAAUUUUUAAAUACAGAAUUUUGCACUGCAGAGUGUUUACAAGUAUUAAAAGAUUGUAUUACACAACUGUUGUUAAAUUCUAGUAAGAUAAAUUGAUACUAAAGAAAACAAACCCAGAAAGAUCAAGUGACUUGGAUCACACAACACAGGAAUUAAGAAGGAAAUUAGUAUUCUUUGUUGAAUAUUUUCCAUUUGAAUAGUUACAGGAAAAUUAUUUGCAUAUUUUACAAAUUAAUGUGUAUUGACAUCAUAGUGGAAAAUAACCAUUUGUAAAUCUGGAGCAGUAUUUGAUAUACUUACUAAUAACUUAAAAUAUAUAUAUUAUAUAAUAUAUAUAUGUUUUAAUUAGCCAUGUGUGGUGGUACAUGCUGUGAACCCAGCUACUUGGGAAGCUGAGGUAGUAAGAUCCCUUGAGCCAGGAGUUCAAGGCUGCAGUGAGCU